CAGAACAGGAGGGUAAGACGGUCCUUCAUCGGCUUGUGGCCAGGCAAUGAGGUCUCCUCUUCUGUGAUGAAGGUCAAAAAAUUCUGGCAUCCUCUUCCAGAAGAGUCCAGUCUCGUCGCAGUUGAAGACCUGCUGAGGAAGGUAGCCCUCUGAAACUAUGACCUCCAGGAACUCCGUAGCAAAUUCCUCAGCUGCAGCAACAUCGGAACUUGCAGCCUCUCCAUGCCUGACCACACUGUGGAUGCCAGAUCUGGUCUUGAACCUUUCG